rnacentral:lncRNA from 1 species
AGUGAAGGGAUGGACUUGCUAACAAGAUAAAUGUAGCUACCACUAGGAAGCCUCUCUCUACUGCAAAUGGAGACCAUCACAGGACACCACAACUGGACACACUGCAGAGAUUGGCGGAUUGGGGGAGCUCAGGCCCAGCGGACACAUCUAAAGCUCAGCUCUUUCAUCCAUUGCUCAGGAAACACUGAGGAAGAGAGAGUGGAAAGAUUGUAAAAGCGAGAAUACCUGGAAGCCUGCAGUGAAACAGUUUCUUCUAGAAAUGGCUGUAUAAACAAAACCAGAACAAUGCCAACAUCAAUGGAGAUUUUAACAUGGGAGAGAAAAUUUUUCACUGGAUUCUACCACCGGACAGAGAACUAUAGGCAACUAAUGAGUUCUCAGAGAAUUAGCCUCUCCCAAGGAUAAACCCAUAUACUUAUUGGUUGUUUGAGGCAGAAUAAUCAGACUGGAAACCAUACAUAUUCAAACAACAAAAAUGGACUCAGUAUUUUGGAUCACACACACACACACAUAUGCAUAGAUAUGCAUGUAACAGUAAUAACAAAAAGAGCCAAUCAGCUUGAGAGUGAGGGCUGGAUGGGCAGAGGCUGCAGGGAGAAAAGGCAGGGAGAGAAGCAAGGUGUAAUUCUGCUUUAAUUAUGCUGGCGAGGAUGUGGAGAAAGAGGAACACUCCUCCAUUGUUAGUGGGAUUGCAAGCUUGUACAAUCACUCUGGAAAUCAGUCUGGCGGUUCCUCAGAAAAUUGGGCCUAGUACUACCGGAGGAUCCCG